rnacentral:rRNA from 1 species
AUUGAACGCUGGCGGCAGGCCUAACACAUGCAAGUCGAGCGGAUGAAGGGAGCUUGCUCCUGGAUUCAGCGGCGGACGGGUGAGUAAUGCCUAGGAAUCUGCCUGGUAGUGGGGGAUAACGUCCGGAAACGGGCGCUAAUACCGCAUACGUCCUGAGGGAGAAAGUGGGGGAUCUUCGGACCUCACGCUAUCUGAUGAGCCUAGGUCGAAUUAGCUAGUUGGUGGGGUAAAGGCCUACCAAGGCGACGAUCCGUAACUGGUCUGAGAGGAUGAUCAGUCACACUGGAACUGAGACACGGUCCAGACUCCUACGGGAGGCAGCAGUGGGGAAUAUUGGACAAUGGGCGAAAGCCUGAUCCAGCCAUGCCGCGUGUGUGAAGAAGGUCUUCGGAUUGUAAAGCACUUUAAGUUGGGAGGAAGGGCAGUAAGUUAAUACCUUGCUGUUUUGACGUUACCAACAGAAUAAGCACCGGCUAACUUCGUG